UGACAAAUAUAAACUUGAAAUUGUUAUGUGAUAUACAGGUCCCGGUUCACAUGUUUGGCAAUAAUACCUAUAUGCCAAUUCCAUAUCAUCCUGUUCAGUUACAACCACAUAAUACGCAUAUGUCGAACGCAAUGCCUUGGCUGCCUUGUGAAGAAUCUCACCCGUCAAGUUCCCAACCUUUUCUUCAUCAAAAUAUCACUGGGAAUAGUCAUGCUUAAGUAGAUGGCUAUUGUUUUGGGUUUUUUGGUCAUCACCGGAUUUUUUUGGGUAGAUUCCAGAUGUGUGGUUAUUGUUUUUGGAUAGGUUCCAAAUGUGCAACUAUUGUUUUUUGGGUAGGAUUCCCAGAUGUGCAGCUACUGUUUUUGGGUUUUUUUGGUCAUCAUUGGAUUUCCUGAUAUGCAACUAUUGUUUUUUGGGUUAGUUUAGUGAACCAAGAAAUCCAAAUGUAUUAGGGACUCACCAGAGAAUGCAUGAGUUGUAAAGCUAGAGGGUUUUUGUAAACCAUAACUUGUUAUGUAAAUGUCUCCCUCAGUUGAUUAUGUAAAUGUCUACCUAACGUUCAUCUUUUAUUUCUUGAAAUGAAUAUAUAUCACAUGUGUAUUUCCUUAGAGCUAUGUCUAUUCAGAUAAGAAUCUCAUUGAUUCAUUUUCAAAUAAUGUACUCCAACACAGUCAGUUACAUCCAGGAAAAAAAAAAAAAGGGAACAAAGUACUUCAUGGCAUUAAGGUUCUAGGCAAAAAGAACGUCAUCACUAAAAAAGAAUAAAUUUACAAGCAAAAAAUCAAAUUUUCCUUCAAUUUUUUUUUUUGGUAAAGUAACUUUCAUUCAAAGAACUAAAAUAUACACAAAGUCCACAAUAUACACAAAUCCCUCCUCCAAAGACCCAAACAAAAGGCAUAAGCCCCAACCCAAACAAACCCUAACACAACAAGCCAGAAAAAAAAAAAAAUCCCCAACUGGAAUCCAUACACAACGGCUGCUGGAACCCCAUGGAAAUCAGUCAUCCAUCCCCAAGGUUGCCAAAAUUGCCCCAGUUUGCACAGAAUCUGAGUCAUCCUGAUAAACUCCACACUUCCAGUUGUAGCAUUUCCAGAUCGAAGCUCAGCUACCGAGGAGAACAGUCUCAUCGGAAUAGUUCUCGUGGAAAGUGGCGGUAUGAAGACCCUAACCGAAGUUCUGCACACCUUCCCUUGCAAAAUUGAAACUUUACCAGAGGAAACUGGAAGAUCAGAUAUAUUUACACAUGGAUCCAAGUCGGAAAUACAAGCUAUCUAGAAGGGACAUAGGAGACAGGUCGAAGAAAAAAAAGGAGGAGGGACUGGGGCUGCCACUAACCCAAGCCACAGUUAGGAUCAGCAGUAGCAAAAGUGAGAAAGAACUGAAGAACCAAGCUUGAAAAUUGAAGAAAACUCUCACACACCGAAGAGAAACUCUCUCACAGAAAGAAAAAAUCUCUCA